rnacentral:rRNA from 1 species
CGGCAGCACGGGAGCAAUCCUGGUGGCGAGUGGCGAACGGGUGAGUAAUACAUCGGAACGUGUCCUGUAGUGGGGGAUAGCCCGGCGAAAGCCGGAUUAAUACCGCAUACGCUCUACGGAGGAAAGGGGGGGAUCUUAGGACCUCUCGCUACAGGGGCGGCCGAUGGCAGAUUAGCUAGUUGGUGGGGUAAAGGCCUACCAAGGCGACGAUCUGUAGCUGGUCUGAGAGGACGACCAGCCACACUGGGACUGAGACACGGCCCAGACUCCUACGGGAGGCAGCAGUGGGGAAUUUUGGACAAUGGGGGCAACCCUGAUCCAGCAAUGCCGCGUGUGUGAAGAAGGCCUUCGGGUUGUAAAGCACUUUUGUCCGGAAAGAAACCUUCGGCCCUAAUACGGCGGGAGGAUGACGGUACCGGAAGAAUAAGCACCGGCUAACUACGUGCCAGCAGCCGCGGUAAUACGUAGGGUGCAAGCGUUAAUCGGAAUUACUGGGCGUAAAGCGUGCGCAGGCGGUUCGCUAAGACAGAUGUGAAAUCCCCGGGCUUAACCUGGGAACUGCAUUUGUGACUGGCGGGCUAGAGUAUGGCAGAGGGGGGUAGAAUUCCACGUGUAGCAGUGAAAUGCGUAGAGAUGUGGAGGA